AACGAACGCUGGCGGCAUGCCUAACACAUGCAAGUCGAACGAGACCUUCGGGUCUAGUGGCGCACGGGUGCGUAACGCGUGGGAAUCUGCCCUCUGGUUCGGAAUAACUCAGGGAAACUUGAGCUAAUACCGGAUAAUGACUUCGGUCCAAAGAUUUAUCGCCUGAGGAUGAGCCCGCGUCGGAUUAGCUAGUUGGUGAGGUAAAGGCUCACCAAGGCGACGAUCCGUAGCUGGUCUGAGAGGAUGAUCAGCCACACUGGGACUGAGACACGGCCCAGACUCCUACGGGAGGCAGCAGUGGGGAAUAUUGGACAAUGGGCGAAAGCCUGAUCCAGCAAUGCCGCGUGAGUGAUGAAGGCCUUAGGGUUGUAAAGCUCUUUUACCCGGGAUGAUAAUGACAGUACCGGGAGAAUAAGCCCCGGCUAACUCCGUGCCAGCAGCCGCCGUAAAAC
rnacentral:rRNA from 1 species